AAUGGAGUCCAGCGUCAGUGAGAUUAUAUGUUAUGUGGUAUAUAAUGUUGGAUGUCAACUCCCCAAAACCAUAAAACUUACUUUAAUGGCCCCACGUGACGUUUUAUAGCCAGUGAGCCGAUCUGUCUGUGCUAUGGAUGAUUUUACGAUCUAAUUCAUAGACAAAACCCUAUUCAUUUGGCACCCAAAUGUCAUAUAGCCGGAACUGGGGCUUAUAAAGUUUACUGUUUUAUAACUUUUAAAAGGAAAGACGGCAUCAGUGUAAGCAGUCGGUAAAUGUGCAAAUCUCUAGUUGCGCUUUAGCUGCCCUGAGGAGUUUCCCAAUCGAGCUAGGAUGGGAGUUCCACCCACGCACCUAGUCCCUCUCCCCGCGCUUCAGACACAUCUGUCAUCGGAAAACCGCGUGAAAGGAAGCAGGCAAUCAGCAGAAGAACCUGGCUGAAUUAGUCGGGAACUGUCUUCAAUUGUUGGGAAAUUCAACCGAGCCAACUGGGUCAUGAAUGAAAAAAAAAAAAAAAAAAAAUCCAAACCCCGGAGACUGGCAAGGAACGCGGAGGGCAGGGCCACUUCUUUUUGGGCUCGGCAAGGUCGCUGGGGAAGAGGGGAGAGACCUCAGUGCUCCUGCCCCAUGCCAGGGCGCUGUGCCACUGAAAGGAAGCUGGCAUUCACUGCCAUGAUGGCGGCUCCCAGAAGCUCCUGCCCCUCUGACAGCUGUCGCUUGGGCAGCCGGGGAGACGAAUUGUCCUCCUUCCUGGUGCCAGAGGACGCAGGAAAUUAGCCAGGUUGCGAGUUGCGAAGCGGCCGCCGCGGCGCCGGGAACUGGACGCGCCCCACCUCCAGCGGGAGCGGCCGGGCCGGGCCGGGCCGGGGCCUCGUCUCGCUCGCCAUCGCCGGACAAAGCGCAGCCAAGCCCGGCUGGAAGGCAGAGCUCCGAAGCAGGCAGGACGGAGCGGAGCAAAAGAAUGCGGCUCUAUUCUCGCAAGGGAAAUUAUAAAAAAGUUCAUGUUCACGGUUCCCAUCCACAUGACCGACAGCGGCCAAUGGAAGGGCCGAACAACUCAUAAAGUUGUAUUGCAAAGUUGUAAAUUUUCAUAAACAACAACGGAUUUAUGACCCUUUCCCCAUCACUAAGAGGAGGCAGCUCUUACACCGGCGCCAUCUUACCACCGAGGCUGCCCCGACUUGGGGACGCAGGCCCCCCUAGAUAAAGCAGUCCAUGUUUCUUUGUCACCAAGCAUCUUUAUUUUUCUGUUACAUAAAACACGGUUAGCUGGGCAAGACAGGAAGCAUGCCUUCCCAUUCCUGGAACCCCAAGCUAAAGCCUAAAGGGACAAGGGGGGACGCAGGACAACACAAGAGAUGAAGGGCAUUGAGAAGGGCAUUAGCCCUCCGCACCAGCUAUAAAGUUAGCUCAAGACAACACACCAUGCUACAAAGUCACCCCAUUAAUACAUCCUUCCCAAGUCAAGACAUUGCCUUACAAAUGACCUCCAAGACUAUAUAAAUGACAAAAAAAAAAAAUCUUGUUCAAAUAUACAAUAUUUGCUAUUGUAGGAAAAGUCAGGGUGUACAUAUUCAACAUGGCUGGACAGUAGGACAUGGGGCCAGGGGAGGUGCAGGAGGCUGGGAGCAUCUCUGCAGUCCUACUAAGCAAAGCUAACCCAGAGGUCUGCAGCUAGCUUGGGAGUGCUCCCCUCCAGAAGUGGGAGUAAAGGGCCUGAACUUGGGGUGCCCAGACCAGAGAUGGAGGGAUUCUAGGUUGCAGCACUUAGAAUGCUUUGGAAUAAAUAUAUUAUUUUUCAAUUUAAAUAGAAGCCAAUACCCUGGUCCCCGGACCCCAGCGUCUUCUCAGUGCAGCCUCAGGGACCCCAAAGGCUGCUGGGCAGAAGCAAGAGGGGCCUGGCCGGGGAAGGGGCCGGCACUAGGUAGCAGGCGAGCCAGUGAGCACAAAAUAGGUAGUUUGGGGCGAGUAGGUAGUACUGAGAAAAUCAGGUCCUUGUCGGUAUGGGGGAGGUGCUGGGUGUCUGCCAGUGUUGGGACGCGUCUGGGCUUCCUGGGAGUGGAGGCCUACUGGGGACUGGGCCCAUAGGUAGUUUGGGGUUGCCUCUGGCCGAGGCCUGUGCUAGGUAGUAUUUUAGCCGUGCCAGUGCAGAACUGGGCGGCCGGGGUAGGGAGAGUGUCUGCUGGGAGUCCUUGGGGCAGAGGGAUCCCCAAGGGGACCCAGUCUAGGCGGCUGCUUAGUCCAGAAAAGGUGGGAGCUGGGAUAGGUAAUGGGGUAGAUGGGUGCAGGUUGGGGAUUGUUGUUUUUGUUUUUGUUUUUGUUUUUCACGUUUUCUUUUUAUUUUUUCCACUUUUGUAAAUAAAUUCAGUGAGUCUCUAAA